CCUACGGGCGGCAGCAGUGGGGAAUAUUGGACAAUGGGCGAAAGCCUGAUCCAGCCAUGCCGCGUGUGUGAAGAAGGCCUUCGGGUUGUAAAGCACUUUCAGUGGGAAGAAAGCCUUGGGGCUAAUACCCUCGAGGAAGGACAUCACCCACAGAAGAAGCACCGGCUAACUCCGUGCCAGCAGCCGCGGUAAUACGGAGGGUGCGAGCGUUAAUCGGAAUUACUGGGCGUAAAGCGCGCGUAGGCGGUCUGAUAAGCCGGUUGUGAAAGCCCCGGGCUCAACCUGGGAACGGCAUCCGGAACUGUCAGGCUAGAGUGCAGGAGAGGAAGGUAGAAUUCCCGGUGUAGCAGUGAAAUGCGUAGAGAUCGGGAGGAAUACCAGUGGCGAAGGCGGCCUUCUGGACUGACACUGACGCUGAGGUGCGAAAGCGUGGGUAGCAAACAGGAUUAGAUACCCUUGUAGUC
rnacentral:rRNA from 1 species